GUCUGGUUAGCUUAGUCAGUAGAGCAUGUGGCUCUUGACCUCAGGGUCAUGAGUUCGAGCCCCAUGCUGGGUG
rnacentral:tRNA from 1 species